CCUGCAAAACGAAUCUAAGUUCCCCCUUAACCCUCUUUUUCCUCCCCAGACAAACCCAACCCAAAUGUGAUAGUUAGGGGCUAUUUAAAGGGGGUACAGCCCCUUUAAAAAAGGACACAACCUCCACCAGCGGAUAACCCCUGUACGCCCAACCCCGUGGGCCUUAAAGCAGCCACCCCCAAAGAUUGCGUCAAAGCUCCAUCAACCAAAAACCCCCAAAACCAAUGCGACUCCCUACACCCACAGCAGGCCAACCUAUAACAAUAGAUGAGUCAAUGCUAGAACGAGUAACCAGGGCACUACGUCCCCCUAAGCGCCAGCCUGUAUACCAUUAACAGUAAAACCUCAAUAAUAACCACCCCCACCAUUGAACCCACCCUGUCAACCCAACUCAGGGGCGCACACUGGAGUGAUCAAAAUCUACAAAAGGAACUCGGCAAACCUAAGACCCGACUGUUUACCAAAAACAUAGCCUUCAGCCAAACAAGUAUUGAAGGUGAUGCCUGCCCAGUGACACCAUGUUUAACGGCCGCGGUA
rnacentral:rRNA from 1 species